GGCGUUGGCAGUGGAGUAACAAAGACGCUGCCGCGCCGUUGACCCCGAAGAAGCUCUGAUGAAAAGGAGGGCGGGCCGCGGGAUAGGAGUUUCUACAAUUAGUUUUUUCUGCCUUUACGUUCCCAAGAAGAAGCCGAGGAAGUAGAAAGGAGAGAGAUCUGGGAAAGGCAGGCUUCCUCACCCCCUGCCCCCUUCGAUUCCUAGGAGGGGCGGCCCCAGCCCUCGGAGCCGAUUCUCGGCGCUGCGCUAGGACAUCAGAGGCGAUACAGGUUCGAUGUUAAAUGAACCUUCAGGCCGCCGGACAAUGGCGCAGACCUCACACGGGGGCACCGCGCCUUCCCCCAGCCGUGCUCGGCGUGGAAUCCUCCGCGUCUCCUACAGCCGCCGAACCAAUGGGCAGACCGGGGAGAGCGGGACGCGCAGGAGAGGGUUUGAAAGGAGGUGGGAAAUUAUUACAUCACUAGAAAAUAAUGCCAGAGCGGGGGUCUGCCGCCCUUUUGAAGUCCUGCUGCAACGAAACAUGAUUUUAAUUACAUAAUCACUUUGAAACUAUAAUUAUACAAUAAACGAUGAGGAUUAAGCGGGAAGUAUAGAGUACAUUAAAAAUUGCUUAGGUCUUGAAAAAACAAACUGAACAUGCAGGGGGAAAAGAAAGAGAUGAAAUCCGAGG
rnacentral:lncRNA from 1 species